rnacentral:rRNA from 1 species
UAGGGAAUCUUCGGCAAUGGGGGCAACCCUGACCGAGCAACGCCGCGUGAGUGAAGAAGGUUUUCGGAUCGUAAAGCUCUGUUGUAAGUCAAGAACGGGUGUGAGAGUGGAAAGUUCACACUGUGACGGUAGCUUACCAGAAAGGGGCGGCUAACUACGUGCCAGCAGCCGCGGUAAUACGUAGGUCCCGAGCGUUGUCCGGAUUUAUUGGGCGUAAAGCGAGCGCAGGCGGUUUGAUAAGUCUGAAGUUAAAGGCUGUGGCUCAACCAUAGUUCGCUUUGGAAACUGUCAAACUUGAGUGCAGAAGGGGAGAGUGGAAUUCCAUGUGUAGCGGUGAAAUGCGUAGAUAUAUGGAGGAACACCGGUGGCGAAAGCGGCUCUCUGGUCUGUAACUGACGCUGAGGCUCGAAAGCGUGGGGAGCGAACAGGAUUAGAUACCCUGGUAGUCCACGCCGUAAACGAUGAGUGCUAGGUGUUGGAUCCUUUCCGGGAUUCAGUGCCGCAGCUAACGCAUUAAGCACUCCGCCUGGGGAGUACGACCGCAAGGUUGAAAC